GGUGGAGCGCAGCUGCCCACUUCCAGCUUUUCCAUGGCCGUGACCCCAGCGUUCCCCCGAUCCCAAAGAGACCCUAAAUGGCGCUCCGUGGCAACCUCCGUGAAUUCGCAGGCUUCCACCUCGUUAAGAUUUCUCCUUGGAAGAAGGUACUGGAGACCCUCGUUAAGUGCCCUGCGGACUUUUGGGGGCAGACAUUUACUGAGAAGGUACCUGCCAACAAUUCAGGACAAGAGCAGUAGUCCUAAAUGCUGACUGGAACCUUGGAGCAGUGUGUGGGUGGAGCUUGUUAACUCUUACCUGUCCAGUGGCUUCAUCAGGGUGCUAUUUUUUGAAGGGCUUCAGUAGUUUCUCUGGGACUGCAGAUUGUCUGGGAACAAUUUUUCAAUGGGUGGAGAGCUCUUCUCCAGGUACCUUUACAGGAAGACCCUUCUCCCUGGAUUGCUGUUCACCAAGCCUCCUGCUGUGCUACAGGUGCUGAGGAUUGAAACCAGGGCCUCAGGCAUGCUCAGGGUGCACUCUGCCACUAAGCUGUACCACCAGUCUUCUGGAUUUGAGCUAUCCGUGAUGCCUAUGUUUGAGUCGACCUUUGUCCCAGAAAGUUCAGUUCUUAUCAGUGCUUUGGAUGUAAAGAUUCCUGGACUUUGGUAACAGGAGCUCGUGACAGAACCAAGAUGGGAAUGUGAAUGCGUGCUGCCGGGAAGCCAGUAUCCCUGCUCUGUCUUUCCAAGGCUGACAGCCACAUCCCCUCCCUCAGCGCUGCACUGCCUGUGAGUCAGCUGUGUGGCCAGGUCAGACCCUCAGGCCUGGCUGACUACAUUGAGGCCUGGGGGCUGAGGUAUGUGAAACUGAGCCAGUCCCCCGGCUUCUAGUAUCAGCUCUGUCGUGGGCAACUCGCUUUUCCUCUCUGUGUCUCAAUUUACUCGUCUUUAAAGUGAGCAAACUAGCACAGGGUUCAUGGGCUGACAAGAGGAACUUCCCCACAUCUAGAAUGGGCUGGUACCCACCUGAAGAGCACCCUCUAGGGGCCCAAAUUUUUUCCUCUUUUUCCCAGAGAAGGUAGUUGAGGCUUAGAGCCCAACUACUUGCCCAAGUCCUACAUCCUAACUCUCAUUCCUCUGUAGCCUCCUAUUUGCUGGGUCAGAUCCAAAGCAGCUCUGGAGGAACUGAGGCCUGGGCAUGGGGGGUGGGAGAGGGAGAUGUCACCAGCUGCCAGUUUCUGUGAAGAUUUCUUCAUGCCUGCACUUCUCCUCCUCACCUUAGCAUGAGUCAUGAGACAGUGAAAAGGCAUCAGCAUGCAGGGCUGCCUUUUUGGCACCAGGUCCAUCCUCCUGGUGUCUCUGCAUAUGACCUCUUUGAGGACACAGGUGUAUCCCAAAGCUGAACUGGCAAAUCUUGUCACUUGUACAAAUGGAAGUGCGCCAGAGAAUCUUCCUGGUGCCUGGUUAGCACGCAUAGGGCUUCUCCCCAUUGUGGGCCUGCAGUGGACACAGGCCUUUAGCUGUGAAAGGGAUUCACAGAAGGUUGGGGAAGGGUAGAAGUGUGCCCUUAGGACUCGGCAGGCGUUAGGGCCGUGGGUGAACCUGAGGAAGGAGUGGCUUUGGCUUCCUUCCCAUGUACACCUUCUGAGGAGGUCUCCGAAGGAGACCUGGCCUGGGCACGCAUCCCGGCCUUGGGUCGCCUCAAGGCCUUCUCACCAGUAUGGAUCCUCUGGUGGUGGAAGAGGGCUGGGCGCUCACGGAAAGCGCGGCCGCACUGUGUGCACACAAAGGGCUUCUCUCCUGUGUGGAUGCGCCGGUGGCUAAGCAGCACUGCUCCCUUGGCAAAGGCCUUGCCACAGUCCCCACAACGGAAGGGCCGCUCACCUGUGUGGAGCAGCUGAUGCUGUGUGAGAUUGGAGCUGUGGCUGAAGGCACGGCCACACUGCGCGCAGGCGAAAGGUUUCUCACCCGUGUGCACCCUCUGGUGCUUAAAGAGCGAAGAGCCCUGGCUGAAGGCGGCACCACAGAGCGCACAGGCAUAGGGCUUCUCACCCGUGUGUGUGCGCUCAUGCUGGAUCAGGUGCGAGUUGCGGCAGAAGCGGCGGCCACACUGGGCACAGGCGUAGGGCCUCCCGCCUGCGUGGAUCUUGCGGUGCUGGCUGAGGUUGGAGCCGUGGCUGAAGGCCUUGCCACACUCGCUGCAGCGGAAGGACUUCUCUGCUGUGUGGAUACGUUGGUGCCGCACCAGUGAGGAGCUGUGCCGAAAGGCUUUGCCGCAGGCAGGGCAUGCAUAAGGCGUCUCGCCACUGUGGAUGCGCUGGUGCUGUGUCAAGUGUGAUGUCUGGCUGAAGGCCUUGCCACACUGUGCACACUCAUAAGGACGCUCACCAGUGUGGGUGCGCAGGUGCUUGAGGAGGUCUGAGCUCUUCACAAACACUUUGCUGCAUGCCCUGCAUUCAAAGGGCUUCUCCCCAGGGAGCAGACCGGGAGCAGCAUGGAGCGCCUCGCCCAGCUCUUUCCAGGUUGGGGCCUCUUGGGUACCCAUGAGUCUCUGAGGCUCAUGCCAGUUUGUGUCCAUUCCCCGUUCUCCCCCACUGCAGAUGGUUCUGAGGUCUGGAUUGCUUGGGAAGGCUCUGGGGUGAGCUUGCUGCACGUGUGGCUUCUGUAGCUCCGCCAUCUGUGGCAACUUCCCUGGAGCGGGGCAGUCUGUAAGGACUUUCUCUCUAGACUGGUCACUCUCAGAAGCCCUCAGUGGGGAGGUCAGUCGCAGGCUGAUGCUGCCUUUACCACUGCCUGAGCCUAGCAGGAGCCUCUCCCAGUAGAUCACUGACACACCUGUAGGUUUUCUCUCUCCAGAUGAGAAGGCAUCCCGUUUUCCCACCAGGCUGGGACCAGUAGGUGUCUCAGGGGAGCUAUGCAGGAAGGCCCCUGGCAGUGUCGGUUCUCCAGAAACAUCUCUGUCCUCUGCCAGACAGCAGGAACCUGAGGGUAGAGGAAUGAUGGCUGCCUGGGGCAUCUAGCCAGGAUGUGACCACAGCAGGCUGCUGGGAAGGCAGGGGGAACCCAGGGGAUGGACGAAAAAGCCUAGGGAGAAAAGCGGAAGCCUACGCGGGCCCUGCAGGAAGCGGGUGGAAGAAGCAUCUGCCCUGACAGGUAUGGCAUUCGCUGUAUCUGCACCCCCAUGGUCAAGAGGAAAGCCCCAGACAACCAGAUGUGGGAGUACAGAGAACUUGGCAUCUCUUACAUACCACCUAAGCCUCUGCUGGCUAUCCCUACCACAGAUCCCUCCCCACAGUUCAUUCCCCAGCCUGCUUUUUCUCCUUGCUCUGAUUUGUUUCUGAAGCUAUAGAAAAUUCAUGAACAGUUUACUCACUGCCUCUCCCCUGGCAUCAGCCCCUAAGAGCAGGACAAGGAGUGUCCUCAUCAAGGUAGUGUUCCCAGGACCUGGAACAGGCCUGGUCAGAGCAGGCACUCAAGCAACAUCUGGACACAUGAAUGAAGGGAGGAAGGAAUACCCAACAGAUGUAACAGCUAGAUGUGGAGGUCUGAAGCUGUACCACCCAGUUGAAGGAAGGACUCGGAACAGAUCUCACCACAGUCAGGUGACUUCCUAUGUGAAAUCAGAUCCUAUGUUUUUAGACCCAGGCCACAGCCUCCAAGACAGGAUGAUGAAAGAAGGGAAAAGAGGCAGAUGGGCAGCCAGAGGAGACAGUAUGUCUACAGGAGGGGAGACAGAGGCUGGGCCACCGGUUGGUCCCAAGUUCACCCCUACCUUGAGCCCCAACUCACCAAGGCUGGACUUUCUGUGGGCAUUCCUGCCCAGGGCUGUAUCUGUCCCACUGGGAACCCAAGGCUCCUCACCAUGCUCCAGCUGGAUGACCACACGAGGUCGGGAGGCAGAGAGUCCUAUGAACAAGGUGGUUCAAGUGAGAGGCCACGUCAAGUCAGGACCACCCAUCCCACAGAAGAUGGCAGGAGUCAGGGCUUCCUGGAAAUAGAUGAUAUUAUCUGUGCAAUCAGGAAAACCUGGGGUCACAACAGGGCAGGGGCUCAGUGGGACAGCUCAAGGAUCCCUGCAAGCAGCAUAUGUGCUGGGGCACCACAGGAAGAGGACUGAGCCCAGGCACAGGAGACUCAGUCAGAUGGGGCCACAGGGUACGAUGGAGCAGCCUGCACAUCUCCAGAUCCUGACCCUUGCCUCAUGUGGCAUCUAGCCAGAAGGUCCUACUCUUGGGUGGGUGGGAAGGUGAGAUGAUAGUCCUGAUGACCCAGCCAGUUACCAACUUGGAGGACCCAGGGCCUUACCCAGUGAGGCCACAAGCGCAAAGUUCCCCAGCAUCACGUGGCGGUACAGGGCCCUCUGGGCUGUAUCCAGGAGCAUCCACUCUUCCCGGGAGAAAUACACAGCUAUGUCCUCAAAGGCAAUCAGGCCCUACGACAGCAAGCAGUCUAAGGUAUGGCUGUGACUCAGAACUCAGAUCCCUGUCCCCAUGGUCACCAUCCUUGGCACUUUCUGAACAUUCAUGAUCUUCCUGGGGUUCUAUUCCAGCGCUAUCUUCAGGUGGCACUUCCUCCACCCAUCUGGGCCCCCUUCCUUCCACCUUUCCUGUUCAGGCCACAGAAGCGCUCUCAGCCUCUCCCCUGGCUAGUUUACACAAGCAAGUGACAGCCAUCCUCAUGGUUCUUGGCUGGCAUCCACUCAACCCAGCAAGACCACUCAUGACCCUACCCAAAUGUGUCCUUCCUAGGCCGGCACAAGCAACUGUGUAAGUCCCAGCUGUGGAUACCCCAGGGUGUGCCCACUCUAGGAUCCUCCCUGCUGUGCCCCUGACAUUUCCAGGCUGGUCCUGGAAAUCAGUUGCCACAGGAGGGUGGUCCAAAGGGCCUGGUGGACACACAGGAAAUCAAUACCCUACUGCCCCCUAGCAUUGUCCCCUCUAUUUCUUCACUCUUUUUCCACCCUCCCCUCCUUCAGCCACCUGCCAGACUCUUGCCCUGACAACUCCAGUUAUUCCCAACCAUUUUCCUCUCUCUAGGAAACUGAAACUGACCAUCCUCCACUGAGUCUGUGAGAUCACCCCCUCCUCAGUCCACUUCCCAAACUCUGCUUUGGCUCAGGACACCUACAAUGUCAACUUCACUGUCAGACAUGGCAAACUCCUGAUCUUUCCUCUUCCAGGAGCCAUCCUUUGCUCACCUGGGCCGUGGUAGGAACCUUCACCCUUCAUACGGACACACCUCUCCACAUGUGUUCUCCACUCAGCACGAGGACGCUGUGCCCCAGAACCCAGGUGUCUCCGCUCCCAGCCUUGGCACGUGUGGGACCUUCUCACACCUGCACGCCUCCCGGACCUGGACGACCGGGUUUGGAGGGCACCGG